UGAGUUGGGGCUAUAUAUAGCCAUGAAACAUGAGCUAUUCCAUCACACCUCCUACUUCUCUUCUUACUUUCCUUCUCCUUUCUCCUUCCUCCUCCAUUUUCACCUCCUUUUUAAGCUUUCAUUUUGUAGUCUUGAGCUCCUCAUGAGCACCUCCUCGUCGCCACCCUAUUACCACCAUUUGGCCACCACCUUGCCGCCACCUCCUUCCUUGCGUUGCACCGUACAUAAGCCAUAUAUUUCUCAUUUUAGUACUACUACUAAGUACUGGAGGUAUUUCCGGUUCGUAACUAGGAACCCCGUGUUUGUUUUGCAAAGAUCAAGAUAGGUGAUGGCGAUCGGACAACGUGAACUAUAUGCUGCAUUGGGAAUGAUGCGCGGUGAUCACCUAGUUUAAUUUAGUAUACAUAGUAUUAGUGGUGUAGCUACUUUGAAAGUGUAUCAAACUAUUAUUAUUACUAUUAUUAUUAAUGAAAGUUAAGUACUAUUUUCCGCUGCAAAACUCUGUUAAGCUUUACGUAAUCACGUGGCGGUAAUACUCCCAUGUUA